rnacentral:rRNA from 1 species
UUAUAAAAAUUUAAAAUUAAUUACUAAAAAAUUAAUAGUUAAGAUCUUUAAAUUUAAAAAAUUUGGCGGUAUUUUAGUCUUAUUAGAGGAACCUGUAUUUUUAUUGAUAUUCCACGAUUUAUUUUACUUAAUUUAAAAAUUCAUAUAUCGCUGUCAUGAAUAUAUUUAAAAAUUUAUUUUCUUUAAUUAAUUUAAUAAUUUAUGUUAAGUCAAGAUGUGGUUUAUAAUUAAGUUAAUUAUGGGUUACAAUAAAAUUUAUUUUUGGAUUUAUAAUGAAAAUACUAAUAAAAUUGGAUUUAAUAGUAAUUUUAAUUAUUUAAUUAAUAUGAAUAAAGAUCUAAAAUAUGUACAUAUUGCCCGUCAUUCUUAUUAAAAAUAAGACAAGUCGUAACAAAGUAAAUGUACUGGAAAGUGUAUUUAGAAAGA